AGUUAAAAUUGAAAAAAAAGUGAAAACACUCUCACUUGAAGUUUUUAUCGUCAAACAAUGGCAAUAGCAAUGGGUGCCGCACUUUGGUCAUCUUCUUCCUUCGCUCGAGCUCUGCUGACUCGGACCACAUCUCUUUCCCCUAUAAACUACACUCUUCAUACAUAUAAAUCAGCUAAUUCCUUUUUAUCCCCAGCAACCACCAAUAAACCUCCAAAAUUAGCUGUUUACGCUCACGCUAGACGAGCUUUAUCUUCCAAAACUAAAGGAGACGAAUUGGCCACUCCUGUUGAUUUGAGUUUUGAGGUUCCAUUGAAAAUUAUAGAAUAUCCAGACCCGGUAUUGAGAGCAAAGAAUAAGAGGAUUGGCAAAUUUGAUGAUAAUUUGAAGAAGUUAGUUGAUGAAAUGUUCGAUAUUAUGUACAAAACUGAUGGUAUUGGGCUAUCUGCACCACAAGUUGGAGUGAAUGUUCAACUAAUGGUAUUUAAUGCAGCUGGUGAACGGGGAGAAGGAGAGGAGAUUGUUCUCGUCAAUCCACGUGUUAGUAGAUAUUCUAGGAGGAUUAUACCUUAUGAAGAAGGUUGCUUAUCUUUUCCAAUGAUAUAUGGUGAUGUUGAGAGACCAGACUCAGUUAAGGUUGAUGCACAGGACAUUAAUGGUGCAAGGUUUGAGAUAAGCUUGUCUGCACUUCCAGCACGAGUCUUCCAGCAUGAAUUUGAUCACCUACAGGGAGUUCUUUUCUUUGACAAAAUGACUGACGAAGUCCUGGACACCAUCCGUGAAGAUUUAGUGGCGCUGGAAAAGAAAUAUGAAGAUAGGACUGGUCUGCCAACCCCUGAAAGCAUAAAUACACGAAAAAUAAAGAAGGCUGCUGUUGGAUUUGGCAAAUCAUGACUUACUGAAAUCUAUGAGAUGUUCUCAGUAUUUGUAUGAUGAAGCACAAAAUGGGAAUGCCAGCUUUUGCUGAACUUUGGUAGGCCAUUGAUUGAGAUACUUGUGCUUUAUGGAACUCUUAAAAGUGUAUCUUCGAGGUUUAUCCUUCUACCAAUACUGCUUUGUUUAGGAAUGAUAGCGUUCCCUCAGUAAUUUGUAUGGAAAAAGAACUGAAUUGAUAAAAUAUCCCGACACAGGCGCUGCUGAUGUUUUGUGAUAGCAGUUUUCGCAUCAAAAUAUAAUUGAUCAAUCAUGAUGGGGUUUUGAAUUCCAGAUACUUGAACAAAACAAGUUCAUUUUGAGCAUAAGCGCAGUUUAUAGAGAGACUAUGAGAACGCGAUAUUGUCUUAGAGAUUUCUAAAAAGAGAUAUUUGUGGUGUUCCGUAUUGUGGAUUUACGAGGUGAAAUUUGAGAUGAAACUUUAGUGACAUCCUUUCCCGGACUGCCAAUUCUGCUUCCAUGUGCAGCUGCACAGUUCGCUUUGUGUAUGUAUGCUGCUAACAACUCUCUAUGGCAUGCGGAGAGGCAUACUUGGUGAUGUGGUUACCCAUUGUUCCUCCUAUGGUGAAGGAAGAGUGGGAAGGGGAAGGAUGGAACAAUUAAUUGAUAGUACCAAAUCCAGUGAACUAGCUACUAUAAUUUGUAUCUUGAAGAGUUUGCUCUCAUGUUGGAUUGUUCAUCUUCUACUAUGUUUCCAGUGAUGUAAUUCCUGUUCAAGUUUCGCAAACUCUUAGUCAUUGUAGUAAGACUGAUGAUCCCAUGUAGCUGGGGGCAAUCAUUUUGCCUUUCAACUGCUAGAUAAAGAUUUAUGUAUAACUGAAGUGAAUGUUUGGACAGAUGCAAAACAUUUCAACUGGAGAACUAUUUCUAGUUGUCAA